CGCGUAGGCGGUUUGUUAAGUCUGAUGUGAAAGCCCUUGGCUCAACCGAGGAAGUGCAUUGGAUACUGGCAAGCUAGAGUGUCGGAGGGGAGAGCGGAAUUCCCGGUGUAGCGGUGAAAUGCGUAGAUAUCGGGAGGAACAUCGGUGGCGAAGGCGGCUCUCUGGACGACUACUGACGCUGAGGUGCGAAAGCGUGGGGAGCGAAC
rnacentral:rRNA from 1 species